rnacentral:rRNA from 1 species
GACGAACGCUGGCGGCGUGCUUAACACAUGCAAGUCGAACGGAAAGGCCCUGCUUUUGUGGGGUGCUCGAGUGGCGAACGGGUGAGUAACACGUGAGUAACCUGCUCUUGACUUUGGGAUAACUUCAGGAAACUGGGGCUAAUACCGGAUAGGAGCUCCUGCUGCAUGGUGGGGGUUGGAAAGUUUCGGCGGUUGGGGAUGGACUCGCGGCUUAUCAGCUUGUUGGUGGGGUAGUGGCUUACCAAGGCUUUGACGGGUAGCCGGCCUGGGAGGGUGACCGGCCACAUUGGGACUGAGAUACGGCCCAGACGCCUACGGGAGGCAGCAGUGGGGAAUAUUGCACAAUGGGCGGAAGCCUGAUGCAGCAGCGCCGCGUGCGGGAUGACGGCCUUCGGGUUGUAAACCGCUUUCGCCUGUGACGAAGCGUGAGUGACGGUAAUGGGUAAAGAAGCACCGGCUAACUACGUG